CCUUCAGAGAUGGUGAGCAGUUCCCUCUGUGUGUGUGUGAACUAACAAAGUACUCUCUCAGAGAAUAAUUUGUUAGUGCACACAAACAUUUUUUUUUAUUCACCCUUAAAGCCCCUUGGGGCGUCUUUGUGUUUCCUAAAGGAGUUUUUGGAGGGUCUCUCGGAGAGUUUGCUUUCUGGUCAGUUGCUCGAUGGUUGGAGAUUGCAGCUCUCCUGUUGCUGACACAGAAUGGUCCCUGUUCUUUGUUUCCACUAGUGACAGGCAGAGCGGAUGGUAGCUUUUCCAGUAGGAAAAGUGACCUCCACUAUCUUUUGGGCCGCAGAGGAAUAAUGGAAACAAGCGUUCAACAGAUGAUUGGAAUUCUCACUCUUUAACUGCUUAACACUGUACUAUGUAUUUAUAUGUCUAUAUGUAUACCUCUGUAUGUACACAGAUAUUAUUA